UGGUCUUGAAAGCUUGCAUGGGGGUCUCUUGACGGGCCCGGGAUCCGAUUAUCUGGUUGAUCCUGGGGGAGGUCACUGUUAUCGGGGUUCGAUUAAGCCAUGCGAGUCGAGAGGGUUCAGACCCUCGGCGGACUGCUCAGUAACACGUGGAUAAUCUGCCCUAUGGUGGAGGAUAACCCCGGGAAACUUUUUGAUAUUACUCCAUAAGUCAGGAGUACUGGAAUGUCUCCUAACUGAAAGUUGCGGCGCCAUAGGAUGAACCCAACAAAAACCACAAGAAGUUGUUGGGGUAACGGCCCAUCAUCCUCUUUUAUCGGUACGGGUUGUGGCCGCCCCCCCCCCCCGGAGAUGGAAUCUGAGACACGAUUCCAGGCCCUACGGGGGCGCAGCGGGCGCUAAUACUUUUACAAUGCAAGAAACUGUGAUAAGGGAACCCCCGAGUGCCCGUAAACGCGGCUGUCCCGGUGUUUAAACCACAUCGGACGAAAGGGCCGGGCACGACCGGUGCCAGCCGCCGCCGGUUAAUACCGGCGGCUUCGAGUGGUGACCACUUUUUAUUGGGCUAAAGGC
rnacentral:rRNA from 1 species